UACAGAGGUCUCGAGCGUUGUUCGGAUUCAUUGGGCGUAAAGGGUGCGUAGGUUGGCGUGGUAAGUCUGGUGUGAAAUCCCGGGGCUCAACCCCCGGAACUGCACUGGAUACUGCCAUGCUUGAGUACUGGAGAGGAGAUUGGAAUUUACGGUGUAGCAGGUGAAAUGCGUAGAUAUCGUAAGGAAGACCAGUGGCGAAGGCGAAUCU
rnacentral:rRNA from 1 species